CAUACUGUCGCAACUUUAAUAUGUACAUACAUAUUUAUUAACAUUACAUUAGAAUACAUUAAAGUGGACCCGUUAACGCUGCUUCAUAGACAACUUGCGUUAAUUGUUUAUCACGUCUCCUUUCUACUUGAUUUUCCGACGCUCAACUGAUUCUUGAAAUUCUUAGUUUAUGUUUUAAGUACACAAAUAGUUCACAUUUAUUUUGAAGGCACUGAAUUCCUUGCAUUUUUACACUUAAUAUAUGGAAAUAUAUAAACAUUAACAAUAUAAUAUAAUAUAAUAUAGGCACAUACAUAUAAGUACAUAUAAAAUUAAAGGAAUAUUGUAUUAGAAACUGGAAUUGGAUGAGUUUAUUUACAUUCGAAGGGCCAUCCUGGGAUGCGGGUCCUCACUAUGAUAAAAUCCCA